rnacentral:rRNA from 1 species
CAGCCGCCACGGUAACACGAAGGGGGCUAGCGUUGUUCGGAAUUACUGGGCGUAAAGGGCGCGUAGGCGGCCAUUCAAGUUAGAUGUGAAAGCCCUGGGCUCAACCUAGGAAUUGCAUUUGAUACUGUUUGGCUUGAGUUCGGGAGAGGUGAGUGGAAUUCCCAGUGUAGAGGUGAAAUUCGUAGAUAUUGGGAAGAACACCAGUGGCGAAGGCGGCUCACUGGACCGACACUGACGCUGAGGUGCGAAAGCGUGGGGAGCAAACAGGAUUAGAUACCCCGGUAGUCCCUGUCUCUUAUAC